UGGAGCUGGUGUCUGGAAUGGUCUCCUAUGCCGGCUGCGUGUGUCCAGGACUCGGUGUGUUGCGACCAUGACGGCGGGCGGCAAGGCGCUACCUCGGGUGUAAGGGAUCCGGCGACAGGGUUGGACGAUGAAUUUCCGUGGUGUGUACCCCCAGUAUUCGGAGGGAGCGCAUGCCGCAGCGGCUUACCAGUUCUGCACCGACAACGUGCAGGACAUCCAUUGGCAAACACAAGGCGGGUACGGGAACAAACCCACAGUCAACACUAUGUCCCCUACUGCCAACUCAGUGCAUACCAUGUACCCCAAUCAGACUGCCACCAUGUGGUCAGGACCUACUGUAUACUCGGCUCCAUCCAUGGGUGUCCGGUACCCAGCUGCUGUCAACCCGGCGGCUUAUGGGAGCUACACCCAGUCACCCUCAGGGACAUAUCCAGCACGCAGCAUGCCGGCGGCCAGCCCCAACACCACUAGCAGCCAGUCUAGCAACCACAGUUCCGGAGAUGCCUUGUCCAGAACCAACUUAUACAUACGGGGCCUCAGUCCCAGCACCACUGACAAGGACUUGGUCAAUCUGUGCCAGUCAUUUGGUAAAAUAACAUCCACAAAAGCAAUAAUUGACCAAACAACAAACAAAUGCAAAGGUUAUGGCUUUGUUGACUUUGAGGCACCCCAGGCAGCAGAGUUGGCAGUUCAAGCACUGCAGGCUCAGGGAAUACAGGCGCAGAUGGCCAAACAACAAGAACAAGACCCAACAAAUCUUUAUAUAGCAAAUCUUCCCCCAAACUUCUCAGAGAAGCAUCUAGAAACGAUGUUCAAAGACUAUGGCACGGUUAUCUCCACUAGGAUUCUUCGAAAACCCGACGGCUUCAGUCGAUGUGUGGGAUUCGCUCGGAUGGAAUCCAGAGACAAAUGUGAACAGAUUAUUAAUGCGUUUAACUCCAAGUUGAUAGCUGGGUGUACUGAACCAUUGUUAGUGAAGUUUGCAGACAGUGGAAAUAAGAAAAAGAACCAGUUACAGCAAAAGUUGUUCACAGUCGGAAGGGAUGAGGCUCUUCAGUUUUCUUAUGACCAGCAGGCAUUAGCUGCUAACCUUACUGCUCCGUACAUGAGUUACAGCAUGGGUGCACCAACACUUCUUCCCCCUGGAUUGACACUGCCUCGAUACCCAUCUGUUAGUACUACACCUGUUCCUACCUAUCAGGUGUCCUCCAGCCCUGCCUGGCUGCCACAGUACAUUAUGCAGCCACAGAUGCCUCAUAUGCUACCGAGUACACUUCACCAUGGCAACGCUGCACCCCUUGACCCAGGGUCAGGGGUCAUGCCACAGCUGACAAGCCAGAUGGGGCAGCUCUCCCUCUCCAGUGCUUCGGUAGGGGAAGAGCAUGCCGUUUUGUAAUUUGCGCUGUUUUCCUCCUACAGUGCUCUCUCUUUUGCUGGUGUCCCCAUUUGACCUUGAAUUUUGUUCUUUCUUACUCUAUAGCUGCUAGAACUAGCAUCCUAUUUGUGCAUUGAGACAUUAGGCGGGCUGCUUUUCUCAGUUUUAUUGUUGACCAUUUGCUUAUUAACUCUUCAAGUCACUGAGCAGAAUGUGAAUGAAGUUGAUCUUAGAGUUGUAGUGUGACAGUGCAGUGUAACUAGCAUUUUCUUGUCUUACUUGGCUUGGCCUCUCCUCUUCUUGUUGUCAUGAUGUUUAAAUGGAAAAAAUGGUUGGUGCAGUUUUCAGGGCUUGCCUAAAUCUGCUAUUAAACAAGGAGCAAGUAGCACUUGGCAAGACUGUUUUAAUAUUGAUACAUAUGCACAUCUUGGUUUCUGUACUUAAAGUCAUUCAGUUGCAGAAAGAAUUAAAAAAAAAUGUUUAUGAAGACUGAACAUUUUAUGGGCAAUUGCUGCUAUUAUCAUUUACAAUUAAGAUUGUCCGUACCUUCUUUUUCACCUGGAAAAAAUGCUGUAUUGUUGCGAGUCUCAAAUCUUGAUCAACAAGUAAUAAGUAACUGACAUUGAAAAGUCACCAACAUAGAAAUAUAGCCUAAAACACCAGAAUGGAUAAUCUGGAUAUUGCUGGUAAAACAUAGAACCCUUUAUAUGAGAAAGAUAGUCUCUCUUUCAUAGAAUCUUUGAUUUAAGUGAGAAAAACAAAAUAGAUCAUGCAGGUAAAAAUUAACAGGGAUUUAUACAGUCCACAUUCAAUAUAACAUCAGAUUUCAGUGGGACCUAACUUGGACAUUUGUUAUUUUAAAGAAUGAUAAACUCCAUUAAGUCAUCAGUGUUUGGGCAGUUGGCCUUGAGGAUGCGGCACAUACCAAGGUGUACAAAGUUAUGUACUAAUAAUAUCUAAAGACUGUAUUCCAGCUUAAUGCCAAAGUUUGUUUCUCAGGACAGGCAAGUGUAAAAAAUGCCUUUUAGUUUUGUUGCGGUCAUGGUCUGGAAGAGAGAAGGCACUUUUCUAUGUUUGGAGAGUUGUAUCAAGUUAAUACUGGACUGUGUCAAGGCCAGCAGCUAAACAAGGUGUACAUUUUUGUUUACAAAUUUUGGUGAAGUUUUUCACUGCCAGAUCAUGUAAACAUCUGUUCUUUGUAGAGAUGUUUAUGACUGUUUUAUUGUCUAACACUUAUAUAGUACAUGCAGAUUUCUUGGACUCUACUAAAAUAGUCUUCCAGGAUCAUACAUUUAGUGAGGUAUUACUCACAUCUGUAAUUAUUUAAAAUUGAAUUUCUUCUUUCUUACAUAAUACUUAGAACCCCUUUCUCUUCUUUUCUGUCCUUUAUUAAAAUGCUUCCACUGUAUAUCUUGGCAAUAAUCAAACCCAGACAAGGCAAGCCAUUGGAAGUGAAGAUGUAUAUUGUCAUCAGAUAUGCUUAUAAUACAUGUUACAAUGGGUUUCAUCAUGACUGUAAAUACACUUUGGCAGCAUAUGUUAGAUUGUCCAGACAUGCCAGGCAAAGGGCGGAAUGGCAGCAGGUCAUAUUUUCCGAUUUUAUUGUGGCAUAAUCUUGGUGCCCUCCCUUACCCACUCCCCAGUUUUUAAGGUUUUAGGUGGACAAAAGGAACAAAGGAGUCAAGCACAAUAUGGCAAAAAACUUGUGCCAAGACAAGUGGAUUUUAAAGAAAGAAGAACAUUUGAUAAAAUGUGCUGUGGAAAGACAGGAUUACCUGAGGGGGAUUGGUGGAUGUAUCACACAUCAAAGCCCAAUACUUGCAGAGAAUUAAGAACCUGUAACAAUUGUUUUUCUCUUAUGCCAUUAUUCAGUACUUGUUCCAAACCCACCUAACCUGCCAUUCAGAAUUUAGUCUCAUAUGAGAGUUUUAAGAUUUUUUAAAAUAAAGGGACAAAGCCAAUGCAGAAAAUAAUCCUCUCUGUCCACUGUUUUUCUUGUCAGAGUGAUGGUUUUGUGAUGGCUGAUUGGCUAUUUGCACCGUGGUAGGCAUGCACUGGCAAUAGAAUGCGACACAGCAUGGUUGCAUAGCCAUCUGCUUUUAUAACCUUUUUUCCUUUUUAAAUUGUGCUCCUUUAAAGGAAUUGUACAAAAAUUUUGAUUAAGUAUGGAGCUAUUUUUGAGUUUUAAAAAACUUGCAUGCCACAGAAUGGAGUUUCAUGUUGGAAAACAAUAUUUUUAUUUUUGUUGUUUGCUUUUCCCACUCCAAAAAUAUUUUCCCAUGUCUUUGACUGACAGGAGACUGGUCAGUCUCCUAUCAAUAGUCUGAAGGAAAGAAUGAAUAAGAUGGACUCUUACUAGUUUAUGUACAUAAUGGAGCCUCAGCCUGCCAGCCUCAUUAUAUAACAAAACUUCAUUCUUGCUGAUUAGCAUUGCAAGUUUGUCCCUUCUUGUGAUAUAAACUGCAAACAUCCCAGUACAAUCUGCCAUGAGUUACUCGAUGUACUGAUUGCCAUAUAAGGAGUCCAGGAAACCUAAACACUUUGAUAGAAGGCUGACCAAAGCUUACUCAGUCUAAGGAUGGUGGCAACUUGUGCCAGAUAAGUGGAUUCCUAGAGUGGAGACUUUGUACAGAGCUGUUACUCAGCAGUUUUUCCUUGAGCUUUUUUUCAGCAUUUUAAAAAAAAUCAUUUGGAUGAAAUUGUUACCUUGAACUGUGUGGAUUUUGGUGAUCAGUUUUAAAGUCUUUAAGAUGUGACUUUGUAAGACUGUGUUUUUCUGAUUGUUGUUGUAAUAAGUUAUGUUGGUUCAUGCUGCUUGCUUUUGUACAUAACAUUUUUUUUAUUUGAAUACUGCAGAUAAAUGUGGGUACCUUGUUUUGUCUUUUGAGGAUUCAUUGGUUUUGUAUGUGUGUGUGUGUUUUUUAUUUUGCUGAUAUAACCCCAUGGAAAGAGAAAUGAUAUUCAUUCAGGCUGUUUUCCCCCCUCCCUUGUUUUGUUCUCUUUAUCCCUUACCUUCCCCUUGCUGUCUGUUAUGUUUUGAAAACGAAUGAGAAUGUACACAUAAUUACUGGUUAAAUGAUGUCAGAAGUGCAGCAUUUUAUCAUCUUGAAGCCAGUAGGCAACAUCACUUGACCUCCUUCUUACCAAAGACUAUUUUGACAGUGAAAAUCCACUUUUUAUGCUCCUUCAUAAUAAAGUUUCUUAAAAAUGUUUUGCAUCUUUUUUAUUUCAGUCUUUAUUGUGACACAUUAUAGCCCCCCCACUCCUCCUUCAUUUUAUUAAAAGAAGACAUUGUUGGAAUUUCAAGGUCUUUCAUGAGUUAUCACAAAACCUAGGCAAGAAAUAAAUUAUUCUGUGGCUCUGAGGACAAUACUAAACUAGCUUCUCAUAAUACUUCUUUCCUUUUUCUUUACAAAAAGCAGCACUUUUACCAGUUUCCUUCCUCCUUCACCUGGGACAUAUCAUAAACUCAUCUGUUCUAAGUUUCAUAGUUUUGAAUUAUUGCUAUAUGACCCACUCCAACUAUUUGUGUUUGUUUCAAGUGGUUGGUUUGAAAGAACAAGAAACAAAUUCCUAAAUAAUAUAUUAUACUUUUGGUUUAAAGUUACUUUAUUCACAAUAGUGCAUCUGGUAUAUUCUAGAGCUUCAAAUUAUUAACAAAACAUUCAGGUGCUUAUCUGUGGUGAAUUUUUCAAAUUAUAUAUCCUUUUUGGAAAGUAUGAAAUUUUUUUACAAAAAAGUCCUAUACUUUAUGAUAUAGUAUUUUGUGUCUUGUCAUUUCUGACACAUAUUUACUGGAUGGCUUGGUUUUUGCCAUUAUUAGCCAGUGAGUAGAAGAUGCAAGAAUUGGAUGCUUGAUAAAUAUUCCAAAUUAUGCCAUACAUAGAAACUUCACUUCUCUGCUUGCCUACUUAUAACACCAAAACAUAUUAGUUAGCAAAGUAUUUUGCCUCAAUCUAAAUCUUCAAAAGAAACUGGAACAACCCCAGUCCAGGUACUUUCCCAUUUUCAUAUCCCCAUUCAGUAUAUUCUCUUCAUUUUCACCCCUACCAAAGAUCUAGUCAGCAGCUAGGAGGAAAAAACUAUCUGGGAUUUCUAUUUGAUAUAAUCUUUCAGUAUCUGGGACUGGGGCAUCCACAAUAAUCUGCUAUGCAUUAUUCAUGCUGCCUGAAAAGCUGGAAAUGUUUUUUGACCCUUUUUUGAAAGAAAACUUUGAAAAGCCAGUAUGCCAAUACCUCCAUGUUAUUUUUUGCAUGAUUUUUUUGUGAUAUUUGUGGAUCCAGUUUACACAUGAAUGGAUCAUUGAGAAGAUGGAAUGCCUUCAUUUGAAUGACACCUCUGUUGCAACGUGUGCUCUAAAGCAGGCAUAAAACUAGCCUGAAAAAGACUUCAGCCUGUUUCCUCUUGUUGUAUACUUGUUCCAAACUGAUCAUAAUAUAUUACUUAAAUGUUUUAAGGGAAAAGUUUUACCUUUGUUGAUUCAACUUCCUAUGGGAUUUUUUUUUCAUCUUAUAUUGUCACAGCUUUUCAAGCAUGCUACACCUAGCGGUUAUUUACAACACCAAAGUUUCUUUUAAUUGACAGUAACAAAAAAAAGUGCAUUGACUUUCCCCUUUUUAUGAGAUUCUAUGCAUUAGUGAUUUUAUUUGUACAUACCACUUCAUGUUUACUUCAUGUACAGUGGCUCGUGAUACACUGCAAGAGACGUUGGCUAGUAGUAUACUCUACACAAAGUAACAACACAUUCCGGGCUUCUGAAGGAAAGCAUAUUAUUGCCUUUGAUUUAAAAAAAAUUCCUACAUAGCUCCCGGGAAAACAUUGCUAUCAUCAAAGUUAUGUUCUUAUAGGCAUUUUACACAUACCCACUUUCAUUUGUUGUUAAUGUGCUUUUUAAUAUAAAAAGUCUUUGUUUUGAAUUUGUAACUCAGGUGGCUAGCAUGCAUGCACCACUUAAUGAGGAGGUAGAGCAUAGCAGCUAGAAUGUUCCUGAUGAGUGCCUCUGAUAUUUUUGUGACUGCAAUAACAGGAGCUUUGUGGGGAGGCUUAUCUGCUCACAAUGCAUCUUAACUGUUCUCUCUGAUGUUCUCGCCCACUGUUUUUUCCUACCUAUCAGCAUUUGUCAUCAUGAAUUUUAUCUUGUGAAGUUUGGGUGAUGGGCUUACUUUAUCCUAGACAUUUGUGUCAUUUUUGUAAUGAAGCUUGGUAAUAGUGGCAUUGCUAUAAUCAAUGGGGGAGGGUUAAGUGUUAAGUAAUUGGCUUCUUGUGGGGAAGUUUAUGUGCACACAAAUGCAUGGGGUGCCCAGACAUGCGCAUUUUGCAGGAGUAAAUUGUGGGUAUGUUUGUGGAUGUGUAUAUACAUGUGCACUUUACCUGUGCUUGCAUGCAUGAAUACACACAAGCACUAAGGCAUGUGUGCAUUGAGAUGUAAUAUUUAGGAGAAGAAAACUUCACUUAAUUACUAGACUAGCUGGUCCUUCCCAUCUUCAGAUUACCACUAAAAAAACUCAGGAUCUGCCCUGUCACUCGAUAAGUUAGUCUGCACAUUGACGCAAUAAUAGUUUUGUAUAGUUUGUGAGUAUGACUUACAUGUGACAGUGUGUUUGUUUCAUAGCCUUCAGUUUGUUUAUUUCAGACUGGUUAGCACUGACCUUUUUAUAAGUCACAACAAUACUUUUUAACAACUCAUUUUUAUCAUGAGAGAAUGGCAGAAUUUAUGCAUUAAUAACUGCAAUGCAGGAAGGGCUGGAUCUGAGUAAUGUUUAACAUGUUUAUGCCACUAAAGUGCUACCUAGCUUAGCAGAGAGUUGUGGAGAAUUUCAAGUCUCUUAUGUUUUCCUAUAAUCAAAAAUAUGCAACUUUUAAGAGUAAAAUUAAAGGUAGGAAUAACAUGGUGACUGAUAAUGCAGGCAUGGUGCACCAGGAGUGACUUGUAUUUUCUGGAAUGUUGGAGUUAGAGUGAUUGAAAUUUUGAUGGUUGUCCUGCAGCAGCAUGAGUGGGUGAGCAUGCAUCAAGGGUUGAGCACAAGUGGUGACUCUCCCAGAUUACUCCCCAUCCCCUCCCAUUGCACAUUGAGUCUGAUUCUUGCAAACUUUUAACAGAAAUUUAUCCCCUGCAAAACUUACACCAGAUGAUCAGAAUACUUAAUACUUUAAACAAGUUUUCACAGAAAGCAUAUGAGGGACAUGACGGUAGUUGAGAGAAUAUAAGGUGUUUAUUAAAUUUUACCAACAUAUCCACUAAUAAACAUCAUUUUCACAAUGGAAGGGAAGGAAGAUCACGUUUUACUGAGAAAAAGGGAAGACUAAUAGCUGUAUAGGGUAGAAGAAUAUAGUAGACUGGCAUAUAUAAAAGCAAUAAUUGCCUGAUUUACUAUCUUUGCCUUACAACCUCUAUAAAAAUGUGUGCAUGAGAGAGAGAGAGAAAGAAAAAAGCAAUUCUCAGACCCUAUAUACUUAGUGAACAGCACUGGACAACGUGUUCACAAAUCCUGCAGUUAAAUUACAAUUUCAAGUGAUGAUAACAAAGGCUGUACAUUUUAUUUUUCAUUAUUGAGUGUGGGACCAAGGUUGUGUGAUUGUUAUUUGCAAGUAGCAGCAUCUUCAGAGAUGGGUACUAAAAUAUACUAUCCCAAAGAUGAGGGACCAAACUGAACCUCUUGGUCAUUCAUGGAGGCCUGGGAAAAAGCUAACAGCCAAAUGUGAAAAGAGGGCAAUAAGAAACUAGUAAGGCAAAACAGGCCAUUUUUCACUGUCAACAUUGUCACGGCACUUUGACUUUCUGCAUCAUCCUCAGUAAAACAAGUAUAAAUCAUCACUAACUUUAUUGCAUCAUCAGUUAAAGGUUAAAGAACACAAUUUGCUGGUGGAAUCUUAUAAGUAAUCUCUGCAAGCAGAUGCCAUUUUAUCUCAUAAGUUGGAUGCAGUGCUCACUCAGAGGCUAUGAAACAAAAGGUAUACAAAGUGUUAUUUUCAUGUGUGUAACAGAGAAAAAGGAAUUUUGUAUUUUUUUACAUGUUUUUCCUUUUUUUGCAUCAUUUUACAAAGUGUACCUCUUGAUUUGUGUCCCCCAACCCCCAUGACUUUUAAAUAAUUUGGAUUUUGCUAAUUUGUUUUUUUUUUGUGUGCUUCUAUGAUGUGUAGGGGCUGUUUUGUGUUGAUAGGCUUAGAAAGAAGUUGAUUGUCCUUCCUUGUAGCAUUUGGUUGGAGUAUUUGUUAAUUCUUGUUUUAGCUGUGAAUAAAUGUUUUAGAAUCACCUGCA
rnacentral:misc_RNA from 1 species